GAGUUUGAUCUUGGCUCAGGAUGAACGCUAGCGGCAGGCCUAAUACAUGCAAGUCGAACGGUAAAUAGUUCAGCAAUGGACUAUGAGAGUGACGCACGGGUGCGUAACACGUAUGCAACCUACCCUUUACAGGAGUAUAGCUCGGGGAAACUCGAAUUAACACUUCAUAGUAUGAUUGAAUGGCAUCAUUUGAUUAUUAAAUCUGCGGAGGUAAAGGAUGGGCAUGCGUCUGAUUAGCUAGUUGGUAGUGUAACGGACUACCAAGGCGAUGAUCAGUAGGGGAACUGAGAGGUUGAUCCCCCACACUGGCACUGAGAUACGGGCCAGACUCCUACGGGAGGCAGCAGUAGGGAAUAUUGGUCAAAUGGGUGAGAGCCUGAACCAGCCAAUGCCGCGUGCAGGAAGACGGCCUUCUGGGUUGUAAACUGCUUUUGUCAGGGGAUAAAAAUAUCCUUGCGAGGGUAAUUGAAGGUACCU
rnacentral:rRNA from 1 species